rnacentral:rRNA from 1 species
UACGUAGGGUGCGAGCGUUAAUCGGAAUUACUGGGCGUAAAGCGUGCGCAGGCGGUACGUCGUGUCCGAUGUGAAAGCCCCGGGCUCAACCUGGGAAUGGCAUUGGAAACUGGCGGACUCGAGUGUGGCAGAGGGGGGUGGAAUUCCGCGUGUAGCAGUGAAAUGCGUAGAGAUGCGGAGGAACACCGAUGGCGAAGGCAGCCCCCUGGGCUAACACUGACGCUCAGGCACGAAAGCGUGGGGAGCAAACAGG